CACACACACACAGAUGCAUUAUUUGGAGUUUGGUUAGAUGUUUCACUAAUUUGCUUUUUAACAUUACAUUCAAACCAUUUUAAAUAUGUAUGCUUAUCUCAGUGCUAAUUUAUUGGUGCAGUCAGAGGUGAAUUUCUUGGGAAGGCUCUCUCAUCCUAAACUAAUCAAGCUGUUAGGCUACUGCAGGGAGGACAGAGAGUUACUCCUCAUUUAUGAAUUCAUGCAGAAAGGCAGCCUAGAAAACCAUUUGUUUGGAAGGGGGUCAGUUGUUCGGCCAUUUCCAUGGGAUAUACGGCUUAAGAUUGCAAUUGGAGCAGCUCGGGGCCUGGCAUUUUUGCACACAUGUGAUGAGCAAAUUAUUUAUGGAGAUUUCAAGGCCUCCAAUAUACUGCUGGAUGGGGUAAAUUUCUAUUGAAAAGUGAAUAACUAUCAAACUACAAGAGGUACACUAAGGAAUGAUAUAUUGCUACUGUCCCUAGCCCAUUGAUUAUUAUAUCAUCUUUUCAUCUUGUUCACAUUUCCAACUUUUAUGCACACCCAUUUUCCCUUUGUGAAUCCACGUCUCAAAAUGGAUCCACCACGUCAUGGAAUUAAAAAGUUUAAAAAUUCCUUGGUCACAAAAAGAAUGUCUCACAAAUAAAGUUUGAACUUGUUUAACUUUUGGUUUUAUUGCAAUCCUAUACUGCCAAGAUAUCAGACUUUGGCUUCGCGAAGUUGGGUCCAUCAGCUAGUCAUGCAAAUGUGAUAACACGAGUAAUUGACACGUAUGGUUAUGCAGCUCCAGAGUAUUUUGCCACAGGUAUUAUUUCUACCAAAACUUUUGGACUUCUGGUGCUCUUAAGGCCAAAUGAGGGUGAGGCCUAAGCUUGACCUAAAUUUUGGAAAACUUCGGCUACUUAACCUUGAAUGUUUUAAAAGCUGUGCCAUGACAAUAUGUUAUGCUGAUUAUACAGGGCAUCUGUACGUCAAGAGCGACGUGUAUAGUUUUGGUGUUGUUUUAGUUGAGAUACUAACAGGUUUACGGGUACUUGAUACAAAUCGUCCAAGAGGGAAACAUUAUCUGGUUAAUUGGAUCAAACCAUACCUAUCAGAAAUAAGAAAGUUGAAACAAAUCAUGGACUCCCGAUUGGGGGGAAAAUAUCCAUCCAAGGCUGCAUUCCAUAUAUCUCAGCUUGCUCUAAAGUUCCUUGCAGCUGAACCUAAGCUCUGACCAUCAAUGAAAGAAGUUUUAGAAAAAUUGGAAUGGUUUGAAGCUGCCAAUGAAAGACCAAGGGAGCCUAGAAAUCAUGCUAGUCAUCCUAUGGUUCAUCGACAAGGCCAGCAGCCUUUGCACCAUCGUUCUCCACUUCAUCCUAGACUGGAUGGAAAUCCAGCCUACCAAAAUUCCUCCCAAGUAAGGUGACUUUGAUACAUCUGCUACAUGCAAGCAUAAUUCUUCACUUGUAUGCUGAUUGUUACUCAUGAACAACAACAAUUCCCACUUUAUUUUUUAAUUUUGAUUAAUGUGAUCUUUUGUAAGUUACAAUGAGUAUUAUUAUUUUACUGGUGACUUGUAUGUACUGAAUGAGUAUUUAGCAGUAGGACUGUUAUUAUCUAGAAGGUCUGGUGAGUUGUGCUUAACAGCUUAAGGAUGUGUUACAAAGUUAUUAGUUUUGUUC